UAGUGACGGAUUCAGGGGAUUAUAUGAAGAUAUAUUCUUAGCAAAUUAGAACAUGUCAUAAAAAAUACGCAGCAUUACAUACAGUUUAUGCUUUAGUUUAAUAGGUCAAUGUAAAUAAAUAUGAUUUGAUUAUAUUGCGUUUUAAUUGAAUUAUAAUCGAGGCAUUCUUAACAGUCAUAGCCUUCUAUUUUAAUUACAAUUUUGGAGGAGUAGCUUGGAAGAAAUAACAGUGGUUUAAUUAUUAUUAAGAUAUUUAGGAAGAUUUUACCAAAUCAAUAUACAAUUCCGUCAAUAUUUCAUCAUUUUAAAUAAAAAAAAUAUGAAUUAUCAUUCCAGAGCCAUCGUACCGGUUCAUUCCCUCCUCCUCCAAAGGCAAACCUUUACUGAUGAUGAAUGGGUUCACAUAUUCACAGCGAGAUCAGUCCCGGAACUACUACUGUUCAAAGAAAGAUACCGGUUGUAAAGCGAAAGUAAAACUUAAUGCAGAAGGAGCAAUAAAAGAAGCCAUUUGCAACCACAUUCAUCCUCCUCCAAGAUAUUUAGUGACGAAAACAGGAAAUUAUGUGAAGUUGUGAAUUUACAUAUAUUUUAGCUGUAGGCUGUGCAAAAGUAACAAUCGUACCGGUUCAUUCUCUCGUCUAAAGGCAAACCAUUAUUGAUGAUGAACGGGUUCACAUAUUCCCGACAAGCUCAGACCCUGAACUACUACUGUUCAAAGAAAAACAACGGUUGUAGAGCAAGAAUAAAACUAACUGCAGGAGGAGCGAUAAAAGACGCCAUUUGCAACCACAUUCAUCCUCCACCAAAAUAUCUAGUGACGAAAGCAGGGGAUUAUGUGAAGUUGUGAAGUUACAUACAUUUUGGACCCAUUCUCUAUUUCAUUGUGCUCUGACAGGGUAUCGAAGACUGCUAACUUUGUUUGGACACUAAUCCAUAUCCAUAGUUCUGAAAAUAUGUGCUACAGAGUACAGACAAGUGUAGUGUAAAAUAAAAUAUCGUGAUUCAAACAAAUGUUUUUGAAUUCAAAUUAGUUUAACGUAAAAGGACAGUGGUACACAAUGAUACAGACUUCUAAAGGAACCCAGCUGCUGAUGAUGAACGGAUUUACUUAUCGCAAGGAUAAUAGAAGCAGGAACUAUUACUGCUCGAGGAGGAUGAGAGCGGGAUGCAGGGCUCGCGUGAAGUUGUCCGAAGAAGGGAACGUGUUUCAGGAAAAAUGUCAUACAAGUUCAUCCCGUCAAGUAAAGGCAAGCCACUGCUGAUGAUGAACGGGUUUACAUACUCACAAAAUGCAAGCUCUCUGAACUAUUACUGUUCCAAGAAGAAUGCUGGGUGUAAAGCAAAAAUAAAAUUGAAUAAAGAUGGAGCCAUAAAAGAAGCCAAUUGCAGCCAUUUUCAUGCACCGCCAAAAUAUAUAGUGACACAUGAAGGAAAUUAUAUUAAAUUGAGUUAAAAUAACAAAAAAACUGGCCAAGUACGUGUCGUGGCACGCGCAGUGUAGGGUUCCUUUCAGGAAAAAUGUCGUACAAGUUCAUCCCCUCAAGUAAAGGCAAGCCACUGCUGAUGAUGAAUGGGUUUACAUACUCACAAAAUGCAAGCUCUCUGAACUAUUACUGUUCCAAGAAGGAUGCCGGGUGUAAAGCAAAAAUAAGAUUGAGUAAAGACGGAACAAUAAAAGAAGCUAAUUGCAGCCAUUUUCAUGCACCGCCAAAAUAUUUGGUGACACAUGCAGGAAAUUAUAUUAAAUUGAGUUAAAAUGACAAAAAA